rnacentral:lncRNA from 1 species
GUCGUCUCCUGGCCACCGUCCUGCCCCGGAGUUGCCCCUCCAGCUGGGAUAUGAAGAAUCCAGCAAACACCGAAUUUCAUCUCUGCCUUCAUAACUACACCUCAUUCCCUUCCUUUGAAGCAUCAGAAAUAAAAGAUUUUGAAGUAAGCCUAAAAUGGUAUUUGCAGGAGCUCUGUGUCCUCUACUUUCUGAGAGGAAGCAUUUGGGGCAGUGUCCAAC